rnacentral:tRNA from 1 species
CGCGGGAUGGAGCAGUCUGGUAGCUCGUCGGGCUCAUAACCCGAAGGUCGUCGGCUCAUUCUCUUCAAAAAUAAGCAGCUCCCGCAACCA